UUAAGCGACUAAGCGUACACGGUGGAUGCCCUGGCAGUCAGAGGCGAUGAAGGACGUGCUAAUCUGCGAAAAGCGUCGGUAAGGUGAUAUGAACCGUUAUAACCGGCGAUGUCCGAAUGGGGAAACCCAGUGUGAUUCGUCACACUAUCGUUAACUGAAUACAUAGGUUAACGAGGCGAACCGGGGGAACUGAAACAUCUAAGUACCCCGAGGAAAAGAAAUCAACCGAGAUUCCCCCAGUAGCGGCGAGCGAACGGGGAGCAGCCCAGAGUCUGAAUCAGCUUGUGUGUUAGUGGAACGGUCUGGAAAGUCCGACGGUACAGGGUGAUAGUCCCGUACACCAAAAUGCACAGGUUGUGAACUCGAAGAGUAGGGCGGGACACGUGGUAUCCUGUCUGAAUAUGGGGGGACCAUCCUCCAAGGCUAAAUACUCCUGACUGACCGAUAGUGAACCAGUACCGUGAGGGAAAGGCGAAAAGAACCCCGGCGAGGGGAGUGAAAAAGAACCUGAAACCGUGUACGUACAAGCAGUGGGAGCACCUUCGGGUGUGACUGCGUACCUUUUGUAUAAUGGGUCAGCGACUUAUAUUCUGUAGCAAGGUUAACCGUAUAGGGGAGCCGCAGGGAAACCGAGUCUUAACUGGGCGUUAAGUUGCAGGGUAUAGACCCGAAACCCGGUGAUCUAGCCAUGGGCAGGUUGAAGGUUGGGUAACACUAACUGGAGGACCGAACCGACUAAUGUUGAAAAAUUAGCGGAUGACUUGUGGCUGGGGGUGAAAGGCCAAUCAAACCGGGAGAUAGCUGGUUCUCCCCGAAAGCUAUUUAGGUAGCGCCUCGUGAACUCAUCUUCGGGGGUAGAGCACUGUUUCGGCUAGGGGGUCAUCCCGACUUACCAACCCGAUGCAAACUACGAAUACCGAAGAAUGUUAUCACGGGAGACACACGGCGGGUGCUAACGUCCGUCGUGAAGAGGGAAACAACCCAGACCGCCAGCUAAGGUCCCAAAGUCAUGGUUAAGUGGGAAACGAUGUGGGAAGGCACAGACAGCCAGGAUGUUGGCUUAGAAGCAGCCAUCAUUUAAAGAAAGCGUAAUAGCUCACUGGUCGAGUCGGCCUGCGCGGAAGAUGUAACGGGGCUAAACCAUGCACCGAAGCUGCGGCAGCGACACUAUGUGUUGUUGGGUAGGGGAGCGUUCUGUAAGCCUGCGAAGGUGACCUGUGAGGGUUGCUGGAGGUAUCAGAAGUGCGAAUGCUGACAUAAGUAACGAUAAAGCGGGUGAAAAGCCCGCUCGCCGGAAGACCAAGGGUUCCUGUCCAACGUUAAUCGGGGCAGGGUGAGUCGACCCCUAAGGCGAGGCCGAAAGGCGUAGUCGAUGGGAAACAGGUUAAUAUUCCUGUACUUGGUGUUACUGCGAAGGGGGGACGGAGAAGGCUAUGUUAGCCGGGCGACGGUUGUCCCGGUUUAAGCAUGUAGGCUGGUUGUCCAGGCAAAUCCGGAUAAUCAAGGCUGAGGUGUGAUGACGAGGUACUACGGUGCUGAAGUAACAAAUGCCCUGCUUCCAGGAAAAGCCUCUAAGCAUCAGGUAACAUUAAAUCGUACCCCAAACCGACACAGGUGGUCAGGUAGAGAAUACCAAGGCGCUUGAGAGAACUCGGGUGAAGGAACUAGGCAAAAUGGUGCCGUAACUUCGGGAGAAGGCACGCUGGUGUGUAGGUGAAGUCCCUGCGGAUGGAGCUGAGACCAGUCGAAGAUACCAGCUGGCUGCAACUGUUUAUUAAAAACACAGCACUGUGCAAACACGAAAGUGGACGUAUACGGUGUGACGCCUGCCCGGUGCCGGAAGGUUAAUUGAUGGGGUUAUCCGUAAGGAGAAGCUCUUGAUCGAAGCCCCGGUAAACGGCGGCCGUAACUAUAACGGUCCUAAGGUAGCGAAAUUCCUUGUCGGGUAAGUUCCGACCUGCACGAAUGGCGUAAUGAUGGCCAGGCUGUCUCCACCCGAGACUCAGUGAAAUUGAACUCGCUGUGAAGAUGCAGUGUACCCGCGGCAAGACGGAAAGACCCCGUGAACCUUUACUAUAGCUUGACACUGAACAUUGAGCCUUGAUGUGUAGGAUAGGUGGGAGGCUUUGAAGCGUGGACGCCAGUCUGCGUGGAGCCAACCUUGAAAUACCACCCUUUAAUGUUUGAUGUUCUAACGUUGGCCCCUUACCGGGGUUGCGGACAGUGUCUGGUGGGUAGUUUGACUGGGGCGGUCUCCUCCCAAAGCGUAACGGAGGAGCACGAAGGUUAGCUAAUCCUGGUCGGACAUCAGGAGGUUAGUGCAAUGGCAUAAGCUAGCUUGACUGCGAGCGUGACGGCGCGAGCAGGUGCGAAAGCAGGUCAUAGUGAUCCGGUGGUUCUGAAUGGAAGGGCCAUCGCUCAACGGAUAAAAGGUACUCCGGGGAUAACAGGCUGAUACCGCCCAAGAGUUCAUAUCGACGGCGGUGUUUGGCACCUCGAUGUCGGCUCAUCACAUCCUGGGGCUGAAGUAGGUCCCAAGGGUAUGGCUGUUCGCCAUUUAAAGUGGUACGCGAGCUGGGUUUAGAACGUCGUGAGACAGUUCGGUCCCUAUCUGCCGUGGGCGCUGGAGAAUUGAGGGGGGCUGCUCCUAGUACGAGAGGACCGGAGUGGACGCAUCACUGGUGUUCGGGUUGUCAUGCCAAUGGCACUGCCCGGUAGCUAAAUGCGGAAGAGAUAAGUGCUGAAAGCAUCUAAGCACGAAACUUGCCCCGAGAUGAGUUCUCCCUGAGACUUUAAGUCUCCUGAAGGAACGUUGAAGACGACGACGUUGAUAGGCCGGGUGUGUAAGCGCAGCGAUGCGUUGAGCUAACCGGUACUAAUGAACCGUGAGGCUUAACCUU
rnacentral:rRNA from 1 species